CUAAUACUCCCUCCGUCCCAAAAUUCUUGUCUUAAAUUUGUUUAGAUAUGAAUGUAUCAAGUCAAGUUUUAGUAUUUAGAUACAUCCAUUUCUAGACAAAGUUAAGACAAGAAUUUUGGGACGGAGGGAGUAUUUA
rfam:Hordeum vulgare subsp. vulgare, WGS project CAJW01000000 data, contig: morex_contig_40675